rnacentral:rRNA from 1 species
UACGAGGGGUGCAAGCGUUGCUCGGAAUUAUUGGGCGUAAAGGGUAGGUAGGUGGUCUCAUUUGUCUGGGGUGAAAGCCUUGAGCUUAACUCAAGAAGUGCCCCGGAAACGGUGAGACUGGAGUCCCGGAGAGGGUCGUGGAAUUCCCGGUGUAGCGGUGAAAUGCGUAGAGAUCGGGAGGAACACCAGAGGCGAAGGCGGCGACCUGGACGGGCACUGACACUCAACUACGAAAGCGUGGGGGAGCAAACAGG